UGUCUCAAGCUUAAGCCAUGCAAGUCUAAGUUCAGGCUUGUUCCUUUCGGGGAGCGAGCCGAAACUGCGAACGGCUCAUUAGUCAGAUAAGGUUCCUUGGCUAAAAGCGGGUCGGUUUUAAUGGAUAACUGUGGUAAUUCUAGAGCUAAUACAUGCAACGCACCGUGGUCCCCGUAGUCUUCUCGUCUCGGGGAAACGGCAUUUAUUCUCUGGACCAGAUCGCCCUAGCCUGCGAAGCUACCGUCAAAAGUAGCGACGGGGCGAAGCGACAAGUGUUGAAAUCCGAAUAACUGUGCCGAUCGCGGGGUCUUUCCGGGCCCCCGACGACUUUGCCAUGAAGUGUCUGUCCCAUCAAUUGGCGAUGGUCGGCGACCUGCCUACCACGGUGUUGACGGGUAACGGGGAAUCAGGGUUCGAUUCCGGAGAGGGAGCCUGCGAAACGGCUACCACCUCCAAGGAGGGCAGCAGGCGCGCAACUUACCCAAUCCCGACACGGGGAGGUAGUGACGAAAAAUAACGUGGCGGGGCCCUUUCGUGGUCGCCGCGGGCGGAAUGAGCGCAAUUUAAAAGAGUGUGCGAGGAGCUAUUGGAGGGCAAGCCUGGUGCCAGCAGCCGCGGUAAUUCCAGCUCCAAU
rnacentral:ncRNA from 1 species